rnacentral:rRNA from 1 species
UACGUAGGGUGCGAGCGUUAAUCGGAAUUACUGGGCGUAAAGCGUGCGCAGGCGGUUCGUCGUGUCGGCGGUGAAAGCCCCGGGCUUAACCUGGGAAUGGCCGUCGAAACUGGCGAACUGGAGUGUGGCAGAGGGGGGUGGAAUUCCGCGUGUAGCAGUGAAAUGCGUAGAGAUGCGGAGGAACACCGAUGGCGAAGGCAGCCCCCUGGGCUGACACUGACGCUCAUGCACGAAAGCGUGGGGGGCAAACAGG